ensembl:lncRNA
CAGAGAUGAAGUAAAGAAUAAAGGUACCUCAUGUAUUGGAUUUGUUUUUGUUGAGUGCACCACUUCAGAGGAUGUCUUUCACAUGAGCAGGUACCCUUGGAAAUCUUGUCCAUUCUCAGCAUCCGUGUGGUCAUCUCUUGAGGAGCUGUGCAGAUCUACUCUAUAGGUUCAGCUCAGCUGGAUCCAGUUUGCUGCUCUCCAAGGGGACCAAGGACAGCACCCUGCCCGCUUGGACACCUAGACCUUCUGGCUUGGCUGCACAUCAGCACUUCUAAUUGAAAGAGCCGGGGGUGCUUUUACUACUGUUUUGUUAUUAUAAGAAAGGAAGGUUGUGAGAUUGCCUUAGGUAUUGAAUGAGAUGUAAUUUUCCUAUAUUGUUUUAUUCUAGACUGUUUUCUUAACCUAACCCAGGGUCUCUUUCACUCUCUGUGUUGCUCAGCUACAUGCACGCUGCUGAAUGACUCUGUCCCCCAUGCUUCUUCUUCAGAGAGGCCCAGUUUACUUCUGUCCCCCAGCUCAGGAGUGAUUAGGAAAGCCUUCUUACACAACAUGUCUUUGCCAUAGCCCUGUGCAGUGUUCUGUUAGUGCAGGUAUGGGAAAACUUAAGCCUGUAACAGCAAUUAAUUUAAUUUAUAUGUGAACACAUUACUGGGAUUAGGAAUUCAGGCUUAGGCGUAGUAAGUUGUUAAGCCUCCUAAACUACAACAAUAUCAAGCAUUUAAUAGUGCUGAGGCUGUACCAUUCCCUCCCCUGCAAUGAAAUCCUCCAUUUUCUAUUGCUAUUUUGCAUCUAUUUUGCAUCUAUUUAUUGACGUCAAGUAUGACGCCAAUAACCCAGGUUGAUGGCAGGAAGGAGACUGGCAGUCACACGGACAUAUUCUUGUCAUGUAAUGUGAGCACAUCCACUUCUGAGACAGAUGCCAGUGGUGGCCUCUUACCUCCCACAUCUGGAGGAAUCUCCUCCUGAAAAUCUGUAGUUAGAGAAUUGUUAUGAGACCUUCAGGGUGACUUAUAGAUCAGACUUGGCUUUUAUGGUACCCUUGUAAUUGCAUGGGAAAAGAAAGACUGUGGUGUGGAGCAGGUGGGGGGCCUCUCCAUCUCUGCUCUGCCUGGGGUUCCACAUGCUCUGAGCACCUGUCUAACAUUUGAUUAGCAAUUUUAGGAAAAAGACUUUUAUUUCUAGAAAUCAAGACCAUGCAAACAUUAUCCCUAGAUGAAUGAAAACCAGAUGUCAAGUCAUUGUCCAUUUUUAUUCUGGAUUUCUGCAUAGUUACAGCUGGCACCAGCUGGUGACCGGGGACAGGUGGGCAGACAGGCAGAAGACAACUGCCUGACUGGCUGGGACUGUUCCACCUGGCAGUUCCUGAUGCAACUAGCAGCUGCUGGACACUUGAUACUUCUGUCCCGUGUUUAGGAACAAAGCAAUGGCUGUAUCUGUCUGUUUUGAAACACAAAGCUUGAAAUCCUGGUCUAAGAGAAUAAACGGCACAACUGUUGACAACUGUUGCUCUUUCCAUGACUUUUAUCUCAGAUAGGAAAUGUAUCUCAAAGGACAUCAAUAAAAAGAGGCUCCUAAGGGAGAAUAGAGCUCUUGAAAGCUGUCUAUUUAAAUGAAGUCUUGAUGUCACUGAAGAUUUGUGUGGAAGAAAGGCUUGUGGAAAAGUUUUGAAAGUGUUAACGUUCUCAAUAUAGUCAUUUUUGGAAUAAAACAUUUCAUUUUUUGACUUUGAAAUAAUAGAUUGAGUCAAUGUAAAUAUAUCCUAUAAAAAUUCAUAAGUCAAAAUAAAAAGAAAAUUGAAGGAAAAUAUUUCCAUUGAUCAGAAAUUUGUAUUUGCCUCUAAAAUUUUCCUGUGGAAAAAUUUUUGGCUUUGGAUAUAACUUUGGCUUGGAAAUUUCUAAAUCUUCAUGACAGAAGUCUUCUCCAAAGCAUCUAUACCAUAAAGCUGCACAUUUUCAGAAAUACUUACAAAGGCAGCACAGACCUAAGAAGUUGCAGCUUUGCGCGCAGUCAAAAAGCCAGAAUGGAUUUACAGUGGGCAAUUAGGUGUCAGAUAAAGUACUCUGCCAUGUAGCUCUCCUACAAAGCUUGACUGACUGGCAAAUUACUUGUUCUACCAUGUUAAUACAUUUAAAUGAUGACUGUUUAAAUAGAUAAUGUUCAUAUUUUUAAAACUGAAUUACAUGGCAUGAACUGAUCAAAAACGUUUAUCUACAAUUUCCUUCUACGCAUUUAAUUAUUUUUUUUAUUAUUGUAAAUUAUAUACUGGGCAUGGUUCCUAGGAGUAAUUGGCUUUCGUAGGAAACAAAAUCAGAGGACACAUGAGCAAUACAGACUGUGCAAUCAUUAUAUAGUAGGUAGCAGGAGGAAGGAUUUGCAUGUACCAUACACUCAUUCCAAAUUCACUUAUUUGCUACUUUGAUCAUUAAUAUUUUAGGAGAAAUUUCUUCUCUAAAAGAGUGGUCAGAUGCUGGAAUGGGCUGCCCAGGGAGGUGGUGGAGUCACCAUCCCUGGACCUGCAGAUGUACUAAGGGACAUGCUUUAGUGGGGAAAUAAUGGUGGUAGGUGGAUGGUUGGACUGGAUGAUCUUGGAGGUCUUCUCCAACCUUGGUGAUUCUAUGAUUUAUUCAUGUAUUUAUUUAUUGUAAGACAUCCACACAUUUCAGAUGUUUUCUUAGCCAGUUUAUAUAGUGUCAGGUAAACACUCCAGUAAUGAUUUUAGUAUCAAGUCGGAUCCAAAGGAUAGUAUUUAGUAUUGCACGUAAUCAAUCUUUAAGUAUGCCACAUAUAUAGCAAGUGUCCAUAUUUUUGUGAUUGUAAUCUGUAUUGCUCUGUGAUUUCACUAGCAUCAUGAUUCCUUUGAAUGUAUUUAUGACACCGUUCUCUGUGUCAUGAGUAUUUGUAUUAGUGUAACAUAAUAAAGUCCUAGUAAGAAUCUU